GAUGAACGCUGGCGGCGUGCCUAAUACAUGCAAGUAGAACGCUGAAGCUUGGUGCUUGCACCGAGCGGAUGAGUUGCGAACGGGUGAGUAACGCGUAGGUAACCUGCCUGGUAGCGGGGGAUAACUAUUGGAAACGAUAGCUAAUACCGCAUAACAGUAGAUAUUGCAUGAUAUCUGCUUGAAAGGUGCAAAUGCAUCACUACCAGAUGGACCUGCGUUGUAUUAGCUAGUUGGUGAGGUAACGGCUCACCAAGGCGACGAUACAUAGCCGACCUGAGAGGGUGAGCGGCCACACUGGGACUGAGACACGGCCCAGACUCCUACGGGAGGCAGCAGUAGGGAAUCUUCGGCAAUGGGGGGAACCCUGACCGAGCAACGCCGCGUGAGUGAAGAAGGUUUUCGGAUCGUAAAGCUCUGUUGUAAGAGAAGAACGAGUGUGAGAGUGGAAAGUUCACACUGUGACGGUAUCUUACCAGAAAGGGACGGCUAACUACGUG
rnacentral:rRNA from 1 species